GGUGUGCUGCAGGUGGGAACUGGGGAAGCACUCAAGGACAUCAAGAUGGCAGCAGCAUAUAUGCAUGGUCAACCCAGUCCUUGUCAAGAAGAUGCAAAACUUAGAAGUCCAAUGGCCAUCAAAAUCAUACAAAAAACCACACAAACAAACUGAAUAUCUUACAAAAUAAACGACGUUAAAUGUAUAUGGAAUGGUGUUACUUGGAACAAAAACUGGUUUCUGGAGUAUUGGCAAACUUCAUUUACAGACACUGCUUCAAGUUUCUGAUACUUUGAAGACAUAUGCAUCAUUGACUGCACUUUGAUUUUAGCCUACUAAAAUUGCUUACAAACUCCUUGUAACUGAUGCUUUGUAUUCAGAUAAUAUAAGGAAGGAAAACUGUGUUCUCAGAAGUUCACUGAUUGGCAUAGCAUGUAUAGCCCAGUGUUUGUUUUUUACUAAAAAUGGACAUCUGACACCAUCAAGUAUCAUGCUGUUCCACUGCCAUUAAAAGGAAGGAUUUUACUCCAUUGAUUACUGCUUUGUCAAACAGAGGUGAAAACAAUGGUAAUUCCUCUAGUCUUUUAGACAAUGAUUGGAUUAUUACAUUAUGCAGUAUUUGGAAGGACACUUGA
rnacentral:lncRNA from 1 species